rnacentral:rRNA from 1 species
UACGUAGGUGGCAAGCGUUGUCCGGAUUUACUGGGCGUAAAGGGCGUGCAGGCGGUUUGUUAAGUUCAGGGUGAAAGCUCCCGGCUCAACUGGGAGAGGUCCUUGGAUACUGGCAGACUUGAGGAGGGUAGAGGAGAGUGGAAUUCCCGGUGUAGUGGUGAUAUGCGUAGAUAUCGGGAGGAACACCGGUGGCGAAGGCGGCCCUCUGGACGGAUACUGACGCUGAGGCGCGAAAGCGUGGGGAGCAAACAGG